rnacentral:rRNA from 1 species
UGGCCUACGGGACGCAGCAGUGAGGAAUAUUGGUCAAUGGACGGAAGUCUGAACCAGCCAUGCCGCGUGCAGGAAGACGGCUCUAUGAGUUGUAAACUGCUUUUGUACAAGGGUAAACCUGAAUACGUGUAUUCAGCUGAAAGUACUGUACGAAUAAGGAUCGGCUAACUCCGUGCCAGCAGCCGCGGUAAUACGGAGGAUCCAAGCGUUAUCCGGAUUUAUUGGGUUUAAAGGGUGCGUAGGCGGAGUGUCAAGUCAGCGGUAAAAUUUCGGGGCUCAACCCCGUCGUGCCGUUGAAACUGACG